CCUACCCCUAGAGGCUUUGCAGGUGUAGUAACUGUGUCACAUGUGUGUCUGUAAGUGCCAGAGAGGAGAGGGGCUAUGUUUACUAUCAGUACUCUGACGUACGAACAUCUUAAUGAUUAGUAGCCUGAUAUU